GACGAACGCUGGCGGCGUGCCUAAUACAUGCAAGUCGAACGAGAGCAACCGGUGCUUGCACUGGUCAAUCUAGUGGCGAACGGGUGAGUAACACGUGGGUAACCUGCCCAUCAGAGGGGGAUAACAUCCGGAAACGGAUGCUAAAACCGCAUAGGUCUUCGAACCGCAUGGUUUGAAGAGGAAAAGAGGCGCAAGCUUCUGCUGAUGGAUGGACCCGCGGUGCAUUAGCUAGUUGGUGAGGUAACGGCUCACCAAGGCCGUGAUGCAUAGCCGACCUGAGAGGGUGAUCGGCCACAUUGGGACUGAGACACGGCCCAAACUCCUACGGGAGGCAGCAGUAGGGAAUCUUCCGCAAUGGACGUAAGUCUGACGGAGCAACGCCGCGUGAGUGAAGAAGGUUUUCGGAUCGUAAAACUCUGUUGUUAGAGAAGAACAAGUGCUAGAGUAACUGUUAGCGCCUUGACGGUAUCUAACCAGAAAGCCACGGCUAACUACGUG
rnacentral:rRNA from 1 species